UACUCGAGUGGCGAACGGGUGUGUAACACGUGGGUGAUCUGCCCUGCACUUCGGGAUAAGCUUGGGAAACUGGGUCUAAUACCGGAUAGGAGCCAUCUUUAGUGUGGUGGUUGAAAGUUUUUUCGGUGUAGGAUGAGCUCGCGGCCUAUCAGCUUGUUGGUGGGGUAAUGGCCUACCAAGGCGGCGACGGGUAGCCGGCCUGAGAGGGUGUACGGCCACAUUGGGACUGAGAUACGGCCCAG
rnacentral:rRNA from 1 species